CUACGCACUCCUACGGGAGGCAGCAGUGGGGAAUAUUGCACAAUGGGCGCAAGCCUGAUGCAGCCAUGCCGCGUGUAUGAAGAAGGCCUUCGGGUUGUAAAGUACUUUCAGCAGUGAGGAAGGUGGGUAUGUUAAUAGCAUACUCAUUUGACGUUAGCUGCAGAAGAAGCACCGGCUAACUCCGUGCCAGCAGCCGCGGUAAUACGGAGGGUGCGAGCGUUAAUCGGAAUUACUGGGCGUAAAGCGCAUGCAGGUGGUUUGUUAAGUCAGAUGUGAAAGCCCGGGGCUCAACCUCGGAAUUGCAUUUGAAACUGGACAAACUAGAGUACUGUAGAGGGGGGUAGAAUUUCGGGUGUAGCGGUGAAAUGCGUAGAGAUCUGAAGGAAUACCGGUGGCGAAGGCGGCCCCCUGGACAGAUACUGACACUCAGAUGCGAAAGCGUGGGGAGCAAACAGGAUUAGAUACCCUGGGAG
rnacentral:rRNA from 1 species